UUUAGAUAGCAUGAAAAAAUGGUCCGAUAAAAGUAGAUACCUAUACUUCGUUGAAAAACAAAAAAGAGGAGCGCGGUAGCAAGAAAGUUAGUAAAUUUAAAAAUAUAAAUUUGAAUAAUGCCCUUAUAAAAGAUAAAUACUUACAAGCCUCUUAUAAACAUGACCCUACUAGUGAACAAACAAAAAUUGAAAAUUUAGUUUUAGAUGUCUUAAAUAACAGUAUGUACAAAACGCAAACACACAUAUAUACAUAUACCUAGAACAUAUUGAAACAGUUUUAAUAAAUACAUAUAUACAUAUAUACAUAUAUAUAUUACAUUCAAUGCGUAUAAUUAUGUUAACUGUUUUUAGAUUUUGAUGAUGAUAUAGAAUCUAUCAAAGGUGAAAGGUGAAUAUAUUGGUUUUUUUUUAUGUGGCGUCAAAAAGGGUGUUGUUUGAAUAAUAGUACAGUACGACAUGUUUACAUGUGCUUACCUAUUUUUUUUUUUUUUUUUUUUUAUUUACGUAGAACCCUAACCGAAGAUCGCCUAGAGACAUCUGGUGUUCCAGAAACAAAUGUAAAAACCAGGAGAAAGGAUUUAAACAUUACAAAAAAACAUAAUAUACAGAAAAAACUAAAUACUGAACAAAAUAAUUUGUUUAUACUUGACUAUUUACAUUAUGAAAAUUAUUUUCAAGACGAAUAUUUAGACAUUUCUGUAACAUCAACAUCGGAUGAUUCUGAAGAUAGUAGUAGCGAAGCAAGUCCAUUAUUAAAAUAUGCGUCAAUAAAUAAUAUAAAUUUAGGAAUUAAAAAUAAUAGUAAUAUAAUUUCAAAUGAAUUUAAACAAUAUUCUAAUGAUAAUGACAUAAUAAAUAUUAUUCCCCAAAAUUUAAACCUAGACAUCUUUGUUAACAAAACAAAAAAAUACCAAUACGAUAAUUUUGUUGAUGUAAAAAUGAAUAUCCUUUUAAAAGUAGAACAGCUGCAGAAUAAUAAAAAAAAGAUAAAAGAAGAAACCGAGUUGUUGAAAAAGUAUCAAUACGUAGAUAACAUGUACUCACCUGGGUAUAGCACAAGAAUUAGCCAAAAAUUAAAAACAAUGCUGAACAAGCGUAAAGUUAAUAUCUAUGAAAUUAAGAAAAAAGAGAUGGUUAAAAAACGAAGAGAAGAUAUUAUAAGAGAAAAAAAAAUAAAAAAUGAGGAAGAAAUGUUAAAAAAAAUAAGAUUAGAACAGUUACCAUCUUCUGCAAAUAUUUCUAUUAAAGAAGAAGAGGAUGUAAAAAAAGAAGAAAUAAUAGAUACCCCACAAAAUUCUAAACAAAUUAUUGAAAAUAUAGAUAACGAAUUUAAUUUUGACAAUGAAGAUAUAACUAUUAGUGAAAAUGAAACAUCUGUAACUAACAGUUUUUUAUCUUAUGAACACAUUGAUAAUAGAAGCAUAAAUAAUCUCAUAAAAAAAUAUAAAGUUAUGCAAAAAAGUAAUAAUGUUGAUAAUAAAGAAUUAAGGAAACUAAAGUUUUAUAUAUGUCGUAAAUUAAAAAAAAAAAAGUAUAUUUUCAAAGCAACAAAAUCACAAAUUAUUAAAAAUAAACUUAAAAAAAUAAAUAAAACUGCGAAUGUGAAAGGGUUUAAUGUGUUGGCUCUAGUGGAAAAAGGCGAUGAUAUAUCUUCAGAACAAGAAUUAGAAGAAUCAAAAAACUCAGAAGAAUCAGACAGUUUUGAAGAAAUUGAAUUAUAUGGAAGUGACAAAAACACAGAAGAUAUGAACAGUUCUCAAUACACAUAUUCUUCUUUAGCAAUUACUGAAUAUGAGAAUUUAAGAUUUAAAGAUAUAUAUUAUAAUGAAAAUUCAUACGAGAAUAUAUUUAAUAUAAAAGACCCCAAAAUAAAUGUUACUUAUUUGUAUGACGUGGUUGAGUUUAUGCUUAUUCAUAACAAUCCGCAUAAAUUACCUGUAAUACAAGUGCUAUGGAUGGAACUGCUUGUUUUGAACCUAAAUUUUUACAAAUGUGUACGACAUAUAGAAGAAGAAUUUUUAGUGUACAGAUUCGAGAUAUACGAGAAUACAACGGUAAAGGUAGAAAAACAAAGUGAAGAAAAAUUUAAAAUGUUAUUAAAAUUGAAGGAUACAAACAAUAAUUCAAUUACAUGUUGUCUGGUAGGUAUUAAUGAAAAAAUGCAGUCAAUAUGUGAUAAUAUAAUACAAAGAGUUUUGUUAUUGAAAUAUAUAAAACAUUUACAAACAAAAAAUAUGGGUACUAUUUAUAAUGCUGCAAUGUUUUUUUUAUAUGAUAAAAAAUUAUUAGAUUUAAAAAAUGUAAAAUAUGAUGCAGAAGCAGAUUCUAUCAUACUUUCUUAUUCAGAAAAUAUAACAGAUGUACAUAGCAUUAAUUUAUCAAAUAGAAAAAUGAAUAUUUUACAAUUACAUGAGUUUUUAACAAAUUCAAAUAUUAAACAAUGUUUUACUCUAAACUUAACAAUGAAUCCAUUAUUUUUGGAGGAAACUGAAUUAAGUACAAUACAAAAUGAAAUAAAUGAAAUCAUUAACGUUUUAAAAAAUAUUAAUUUAAAUGAAAUUAUUUUAGAUUUUAUUAACUUAUCAAACACAUGUGGUGAAUAUUUUAUUUCUAAUUUAAUAUUAAACACUGAUCUCCUUUCUUUAAGUUUAUUAAAAUGUAAUUUAAAUUCUAGUAAUAUAACUAAUAUUACAAAUACGAUACUUGACAAAAGCAACCCUUCAAUGUUAUAUUCAAUAACACACUUAAAUGUCGAAUUCAACGAAUUAAUUUAUUCUGAUAUUAAAACACUUAUAAAAACAAUACAAAAAAUAAAUAAAAAUUUUAAAAAAUUAUAUAUUUAUGGUAAUUUAAUACAAACUGAUAUUUUUGAAAUUUCUUACUAUUUUAAACAAAGAAAAGCAAUUAUUGAAACAAAAAAAUAUUAUAAACAUGUAUUAAACAUUUUUCAUUUUAAUAAUAUUUAUAAAAUCAAGUUACAUGUUUCUUUUAGUUUAAGGGGUAUUGCUGAAUGGAUAAAAUCGGAUAAUAACGAGUUUUUGCUAUUUGAGUUGUACUUUAUUUAUUUAUACACAAUUAUACCCGAAAAGAAGGUCUACAUAAUUAAAGACGUUUCUUUUGCUAAAAAAGGAGAGUUGUUAAUAUUGAAUGUUCAUGCGUUAGAUGACAACAAAAAAGUAACUCUUCAAUUAAAUUUGUUUAAAAAUACUAUUAUGUUGCAAUUUUUAAAUAUUGUGAAAAAAGGGUAAUUUAAAAAAGAAAAACGAGCACAUUUUCGCAAAUUUACAUGUUCUUACUUUCACAUUUUCGCAA
rnacentral:lncRNA from 1 species